AAAGAGCGAUAUGUCAUGUGACUCGCGGAUAUAAGUGAUUCAUCGAAUCUUUGAACGCAACACGCACUCUGUUAGGGUAAAACCUCAGAGUAUGUCUAUAUGAGCGUCGUGUUAAUAAUAUCACUUAAAAGUGUUUUUAUGUGAUUCUUCUGUAUAUUCAGGAGUCUCAUUAAAUAUAGUGACAUUGAGAAAAUGACAAAGUCAUCGCUUUGCAUUAAAAUAGUAUUUUAUUGAUCUAUAUCUCUUUGUUAUUUAUAUAAUUAAACUCUACUCAUCGACAUCAUAUUAGACAAGGCUACCCGCUGAAUUUAA
rnacentral:misc_RNA from 1 species